UACAGAGGUCCCAAGCGUUGUUCGGAUUCACUGGGCGUAAAGGGUGCGUAGGCGGCCAGGUAAGUCUGCUGUGAAAUCCCGCAGCUCAACUGCGGAACUGCAUUGGAAACUAUCUGGCUAGAGGAAUGGAGGGGAGACUGGAAUUCUCGGUGUAGCAGUGAAAUGCGUAGAUAUCGAGAGGAACACCAGUGGCGAAGGCGAGUCUCUGGACAUUUCCUGACGCUGAGGCACGAAAGCCAGGGGAGCAAACGGG
rnacentral:rRNA from 1 species